UACCAGACUCCUACGGGAGGCAGCAGUGGGGAAUAUUGCACAAUGGGGGAAACCCUGAUGCAGCGACGCCGCGUGAGUGAAGAAGUAUCUCGGUACGUAAAGCUCUAUCAGCAGGGAAGAAAAUGACGGUACCUGACUAAGAAGCACCGGCUAAAUACGUGCCAGCAGCCGCGGUAAUACGUAUGGUGCAAGCGUUAUCCGGAUUUACUGGGUGUAAAGGGAGCGCAGGCGGUACGGCAAGUCUGAUGUGAAAGCCCGGGGCUCAACCCCGGUACUGCAUUGGAAACUACCGGACUGGAGUGUCGGAGGGGUAAGUGGAAUUCCUAGUGUAGCGGUGAAAUGCGUAGAUAUUAGGAGGAACACCAGUGGCGAAGGCGGCUUACUGGACGAUCACUGACGCUGAGGCUCGAAAGCGUGGGGAGCAAACAGGAUUAGAUACCCGAGUA
rnacentral:rRNA from 1 species